GUGCGUGUAGCUCAGUUGGCAGAGCAAACGACUUUUAAUCGUUAGGUCGAGGGUUCAAAUCCCUCUACGCACA
rnacentral:tRNA from 1 species